rnacentral:rRNA from 1 species
UGCAAGUCGAACGGCAGCUCGAGAGCUUGCUCUUGGUGGCGAGUGGCGCACGGGUGAGUAAUAUAUCGGAACGUAUCCAAUAAUGGGGGAUAACUAAUCGAAAGGUUAGCUAAUACCGCAUACGCCCUACGGGGGAAAGCAGGGGAUCUUCGGACCUUGCGUUAAUGGAGCGGCUGAUAUCUGAUUAGCUAGUAGGUGAGGUAAAGGCUCACCUAGGCUUCGAUCAGUAGCUGGUCUGAGAGGACGACCAGCCACACUGGAACUGAGACACGGUCCAGACUCCUACGGGAGGCAGCAGUGGGGAAUUUUGGACCAUGGGCGCAAGCCUGAUCCAGCCAUUCCGCGUGAGUGAAGAAGGCCUUCGGGUUGUAAAGCUCUUUCGCAAGGGAAGAAACGAUACCGACGAAUAAUCGGUGUUAAUGACGGUACCUUGAUAAGAAGCACCGGCUAACUACGUGCCAGCAGCCGCGGUAAUACGUAGGGUGCGAGCGUUAAUCGGAAUUACUGGGCGUAAAGCGUGCGCAGGCGGUUUUGUAAGUCAGAUGUGAAAUCCCCGGGCUCAACCUGGGAACUGCGUUUGAAACUACAAGGCUAGAGUAUGGUAGAGGGGGGUAGAAUUCCACGUGUAGCAGUGAAAUGCGUAGAGAUGUGGAGGAAUACCAAUGGCGAAGGCAGCCCCCUGGACUAAUACUGACGCUCAUGCACGAAAGCGUGGGGAGCAAACAGGAUUAGAUACCCUGGUAGUCCACGCCCUAAACGAUGUCUACUAGUUGUUGGGAGAGUAAAAUCUCUUAGUAACGCAGCUAACGCGUGAAGUAGACCGCCUGGGGAGUACGGUCGCAAGAUUAAAACUCAAAGGAAUUGACGGGGGCCCGCACAAGCGGUGGAUUAUGUGGGAUAAUUCGAUGCAACGCGAAAAACCUUACCUGGCCUUGACAUGU